AUUGAACGCUGGCGGCAGGCCUAACACAUGCAAGUCGAGCGGAUGAAGGGAGCUUGCUCCUGGAUUCAGCGGCGGACGGGUGUGUAAUGCCUAGGAAUCUGCCUGGUAGUGGUGGAUAACGUCCGGAAACGGGCGCUAAUACCGCAUACGUCCUGAGGGAGAAAGUGGGGGAUCUUCGGACCUCACGCUAUCAGAUGAGCCUAGGUCGGAGUAGCUAGUUGGUGGGGUAAAGGCCUACCAAGGCGACGAUCCGUAACUGGUCUGAGAGGAUGAUCAGUCACACUGGAAGUGAGACACGGUCCAGACUCCUAAGGGAGGCAGCAGGGGGGAAUAUUGGACAAUGGGGGAAAGCCUGAUCCAGCCAUGCCGCGUGUGUGAAGAAGGGCUUCGGAUUGUAAAGCACUUUAAGUUGGGAGGAAGGGCAGUAAGUUAAUACCUUGCUGUUUUGACGUUACCAACAGAAUAAGCACCGGCUAACUUCGUG
rnacentral:rRNA from 1 species